UACAGAGGGGGCAAGCGUUGUUCGGAAUUACUGGGCGUAAAGGGCGCGUAGGCGGCCUGCUAAGUCGAACGUGAAAUCCCCGAGCUCAACUCGGGAACUGCGUCCGAUACUGGCAGGCUUGAAUCCGGGAGAGGGAUGCGGAAUUCCAGGUGUAGCGGUGAAAUGCGUAGAUAUCUGGAGGAACACCGGUGGCGAAGGCGGCAUCCUGGACCGGCAUUGACGCUGAUGCGCGAAAGCGUGGGGAGCAAACGGG
rnacentral:rRNA from 1 species